UACGUAGGGUGCAAGCGUUAAUCGGAAUUACUGGGCGUAAAGCGUGCGCAGGCGGUUUUGUAAGACAGGUGUGAAAUCCCCGGGCUUAACCUGGGAACUGCAUUUGUGACUGCAUGGCUAGAGUACGGUAGAGGGGGAUGGAAUUCCGCGUGUAGCAGUGAAAUGCGUAGAUAUGCGGAGGAACACCGAUGGCGAAGGCAAUCCCCUGGGCCUGCACUGACGCUCAUGCACGAAAGCGUGGGGAGCAAACAGG
rnacentral:rRNA from 1 species